UGUUAAAAAUUCAUCCAUUUAUAUUAUUAAAAAUUAGCGUGGCUGACAGAAUAGCAAGAUAGUGACAUGUAGUGUGCCACGUAUAUCGCAUGUUGACGUGCAAAGACCAGUUUUUAGUAGUAGAAAUGAAUGAAAAAUUUAACA
rfam:Gossypium hirsutum cultivar TM-1 unplaced genomic scaffold scaffold3470.1, whole genome shotgun sequence